GCUACUAAAUUGCCCACGCUGGGCUCAAACUUGUGAUCUUCCUGCCUCAGCCUCUCAGACUGCUGGGAUUACAGGCAUGUGCUACAGCACCUAGCUUGUUCUAAAUGCAGUGGGAAGCCUUCAGAGGACUUUAAGCAGGGAAUGUACAUGAUCUAUUUUACACGUUUUAAAAAAUUGAUGAUGAGGGCCAGGGAUUUAGCUCGGUGGCACGGAGCCUGCCUCACAAGUAAGUGCAAGGUCCUGAGUUCGAUCCCCAGUACCGCCAAAGAAGGAAAAAAAAAAUUGACGAUGGGCUGGGGAAUAUAUUGAACUGGUACUGCCCUUGGCUAGCAUGCACCAGGUCUUAGGUUCCAUUCAUCAAUUGACUAUACGGAGUUGCUGUUUGAAGAAAAGCUUCAAAGGGGGCAAUGUAAAUGCAAGGAGACCAGGGCUGAAAUUCUAGAAGAGGUGAUGAGAUCUUGCACCUGCUUGGUGGUAGGGAGCUCAAAGCAGAUAGAUUUGAGAAAUGUUGGAGGUAAAACAGAAUGGCUAUGUGGAUAAAACUUCCUUGGAACUUUCCUAAAUAGGGUGAGGGAUUAACUACUAAUGACAAGCAGUUUUCUCUCUCUAAAGAUGAAAUGAGACAGAUCUCUCUUUGUUUCAGGAAGAUUAUCCCAGUAGGUCUCAUGUGUAAAACUUCAUUCUUUCAUUCAACAGCUCCCUAUGGUGAGCUCCCUGUGAGCUCAGGACCGCUCUUGGAAUCUUGGCAAACCAAGCAGAAGAAAGCCUGACCCUCCCAAAGCUGGCAUCUCCUAAACAGGGAAUAAAUGUAAUAAACGAGCUAAUGAUGUACAUACGAGGGACUUCGUGUGUGCAAAGCUGAUGAUGGAUGCACAUCAUGCCACCAGUGUGUGAUCAACUAAAAAUGAAGCGAGACAGAUAAUCCUCAAAGACACUAUGCUAAGUGAAAUCAACCAGCCCCAGAAGGACUAAGGCAUGGCGGGCCCUUGAACGGGAGGUCUGAGUCGUCAGUCUCAUGGAGAAGACAGCAGGAUGGUGGCUGCCAGGGAAUGGGGAGGGAACCCCACGAGGGCAUUACUGCUCCACAGGCAGAGUUUCUGUGCGGGCAGAUGGGAGCGUGCUGGAGAUGACGGGGGUGAUGUCACUCAAUCAUGUGAUCGUUCUUAAUGCCACUGAAAUGUACUUAAAAAUACGUA
rnacentral:lncRNA from 1 species